GAAACAUUUAUUAUUUGAAAAAUGUGUUAUGAUCAAUGGAAGAGUGGUGAAGAGAGAGAUGUUUGUGGGACUGAGAAGUUCCGAAAACAGAAGAAUACGUAAGAGAAGAUGUGGGAGAAGCGUUCUCAUCUGCACCUUCUCCGUUUCCGCUUAUCAAACCACAAACUAUCGCUUCCACGUCACGCCGUCACCGUCGCCGACGGACUCCAACACCCAUCAGCGCCGGAAGGCGCCGCCAUAGCCAAAUUAGUCCUCGAAUCGGACCCCCAAUCCCUCUACCAAGCCCUAGCAAAGCCCACUCUCCACUGGACACCAGGCCUGGUGGACAAGGUCCUUAAACGCCUCUGGAACCACGGGCCCAAAGCCCUACAAUUCUUCAAACACCUCGACCGCCACCCAACUUAUGUCCACUCUUCUUCCGCCUUCCACCACGCCAUCGACAUCGCCGCCCGCAUGCGCGAAUACAAUACUGCCUGGGCCUUCCUCGGCCGAAUGCGCUCCCUCCGUCUCGGCCCAACUCCCCGAACCUUCGCCAUCAUCGCCGAGCGCUACGUCGCCGGAGGAAAAGCCCACCGCGCCGUGAAAGUCUUCUUAUCCAUGCACGAACACGGUUGCCGCCAAGAUCUGAACUCGUUCAACACGUUGCUCGACGUUCUAUGUAAAUCGAAACGCGUGGAAAUGGCUCACAACUUGUUCAACAUUCUCAAACGCAAGUUCAAAGCCGAUAGCGUAAGUUACAACAUAAUUGCGAAUGGUUAUUGUUUGAUUAAGCGAACUCCAAUGGCGUUGAAGGUGAUGAAGGAAAUGGUGGAGAGAGGAAUUAACCCUACGAUGGUUACGUAUAACACGUUGUUGAAAGGGUAUUUUAGGAGCAAUCAGGUCAAGGAAGCUUGGGAAUUCUAUUUGGAGAUGAAGAAGAGGAAGUGUGAAAUUGAUGUUGUGACUUACACUACAAUGGUGCAUGGGUUUGGUGUUGUGGGUGAGGUCAAGAAAUCUCGUAGGGUUUUUGAUGAGAUGGUGAAAGAGGGUGUGGUUCCUUCGGUUGCCACGUAUAAUGCAUUGAUUCAGGUUUUGUGUAAGAAGGAUAGUGUGGUGAAUGCGGUGUUGGUUUUUGAGGAGAUGGUGAAGAAGGGGUGCGAGCCUAAUUUGAUUAGUUACAAUGUUGUUAUACGAGGUUUCUGUCAUGUUGGUGAUAUGGAGAGGGCGUUGGAGUUUAUGGGGAGAAUGGAGGAAUGUGGGUUGUGGCCUAGUGUUCAGACUUAUAAUGUUGUGAUUCGGUACUUUUGUGAUGCUGGGGAGAUUGAGAAGGGUUUGGAGAUGUUUGCGAAGAUGGGGAAUGGGUCGUGUUUGCCUAAUUUGGACACUUAUAAUGUUCUGAUUAGUGCCAUGUUUGUGAGGAAGAAAUCAGAGGAUGUAGUGGUGGCUGGGAAGUUAUUGAUAGAGAUGAUUGAUAGAGGGUUCUUGCCGCGGAAGUUUAUGUUUAAUCAGGUUUUAAAUGGACUUGUUCUAACUGGUAAUCAAGAUUUUGCAAAGGAGAUAUUGAGAAUGCAGGGCAGGUGUGGCCGCGUUCUCCGGCAUUUGAAGUUAUGAGUCGUCUUGUUGGUGGAUUGGGUAUGUUGUCAUUUCUUCCUUAGCAUCAUUUAAAGGUUUCAGUUUUUUUCUUCUUAAGAUCAUUUUGGUCACCAUUCACUUUUGUCAUCAGUGCUGAUAUUGGAUACUUGAAAGAUGAGAACAAUCCACAUGGUUCUGAACCAUUGAAGUUAUAUGCGCGUUCAAUUUGAAACCAUGUUCUGCAUUCUGUAAUUUUAACAAAGAUUUUGCUUUCUGCAGAACACUUGUGACAAACCUGCCAUAGCUAAAAAUUUUGCUUGCAGGAGCUCCUCGUUCAGGUUCAUUUUAAUGUUCCAUUUUUAUGUUCUUGCAUUAAUCUUAUGGUGCUGAAACUGCAUGUUUACUUCAAGUUUCGUUGAUUCUCAGCUUACUGUAUUUUGAGAUUCAACGUGUUAUGGUUUUGAUUACAAGCAUUUUCUCCCUUCUCCCUGUUCCUUGGAUGUGUAUAGAAGGGCCAUUAACUCUGUUAUAUGGCUUGUUGGAUGUUACUUAUAAUAAUUUCAGAAAAUCAAUUUCUGAAAGUGUUGAUAUGCUCACUGCCAUGGGCACUUGCAAAACAGACAUUGAUUUGAUUUGCAGUUAAGGAGCUGACCCUAUAGUCAUCCUGUAUCUACGAGUUAUAUUUCAAUUAAUAUUUUAGCUGGUGGAGGUGGUAGGUGCCCCAUUUGUUAUGAGGUUUGCUAGUCAUGAAAUUCCAUCAACUUUAAUGAUGUCAUGUUUUUAGAAAGCAGAAAAGUUUACAAGUUUAUAAUUGUGUUGUUAUUGUUCUUAAAAACGCUGCAUAAGGAGAGAGGAGUAGGACAUGUCUCGAGAUGCUUGAGAAGCCAUAUAUGCCUUAGAUGCCAUGUCUUGAUUGAAUUAGGGAGAGAGCAAAACAUACUCAGAUAAUGAUAAACUUCGGUAGGCAAUGAAUUCUCAUUAACUUAGAAGACAUGGAGUGAGUUCUUAUUAAAUUUAGUUAUGCUUAAACUUAGAAGUUGUUUUGAGUGAUUUACUUUAGUUAGCAGUCUUAUUUUUUGUUGUUUUGGCAUGAAAAGUGAUGUUUGAGACUUGAGAGAGCAUGUAAUAUUUCCUAGGAAAAGAAAAUGUAAUGAUAAAAGGAUAAAUUAUCAGGAUGAUGCAACGGAAGAUCAGAGUGUCUCAGUUCCGUCUAGCAUACUUUAAAUUGUACUGUUGCUUCUCAUAAGAGCUUUGGAGAUGAAUGAACCAGUGGCAUCAUCCUUCAGAUGUUUCUCCACCUUAUACAGGAUACUUGUAGGUUCUUAAAUGCGAUAGAUAGAUAUUACUUUCACCUUCCUUUGACAGUUCUCAAUUACAACUAGCAUUGAUCAAUAAAGUAUUAUGUUAUUGCCUGUGCAGGGAUGAGAACUGACAAGACAAUGAUGGAGCACUAAACACAAUGAUCAUGCUAAUCUUCCUCACCUUCGAAUUUAGUCUGCAGUAAAGUAUGACAAGUUUGUGGAGGGUGAUUACAAACUAUUCAUUAUCAAUCAGGAGAGAGCCAGUUUGACUUAAUCUAUUACGAUAUUUUCCAUCAUUGCUAGAAGCACGCGUUUAGGAAGAAGCCUCAAUCGUUGCUUAAUGAAGCCCUUCACUAGCUGCACAUCGUUUUCUCUCUCCUUCAUUCAAUUAAUUGGUGUGAGAUCUCUUCCAAUUGGAAGAAGGAUUACAUUCUGGCCUUCAUGGCUUGAUGUUGUAUUAGUUUUAGGAUUAAGAACAUGUGUGAUUUAUAUUUUUCUUCUUGAAAGAGGGUCCAAAGGAAUAUGGUCAUUUUACAUGGAUAUUAUCUCUUAUUAUUAGCCUUGCCUAUAAAUACCAAAUUUAUUUGCCAAAACUAGCAAAAUUGAUAUAUGUAAUUCGUGGUAUAAUUUGAAAUAUCAUUUUUAUGCUUUC